ensembl:lncRNA
GGAGUGUAGAAAAGACCUGCCGUGCCAACACCCAGUUUAUGUUCAUGCCAGAGCCAAGCAUGUUACAUAUGGGGGCUCGUCCGAGAUUUUGGAACCUGGAAAUUGUUUCACAGGUUAAAGACUUUUUGAAGUAAAGAGGAGCAUCUCAUCUGAACCUGAUGUCUAUCAUGGAUAUUUAACUGAAGUUCUGUGAGAAUCCCAACUUAACCAUGAAGCAUAUCUGCAAACUGACUAGCUGAACGAUUGGUUCCCUUAAACCAGAACCAAUCCGGGAACUCCAGCUAGUGGGCUCUUCGAGCUGAAGUUGUGCUCUUCAGCUGAGGAGGUAAGGAAACCUUCACUGGGGCUUGAGGUGGGAAGAGGAGAAUGUUUCAAAGUGUUCCAUGUUACUCUGAUGAAGACCGUUGUUGUGUUCCACUGGCUGCGAGGAAGAACCCACACAUCUUCCUCUUGGCCUUUCUCCUCUGAGAAUCCUGGCGCCAUCUUGAAGGAUAUUCCAGCUCAUGUAACUGAUGUCACGACAGAUUCUCAAACACUUGGUUUCUCCUGAGGGGCGUCUCUAUGGAACUGAAGACUUCAGACAGCACUGUAUCCCAGCAUGCAUCUCUGCUCACUCAGACCACAACCCCAUAAGUAGGAUGCAACACUCUAGGGAUGGAGAUGUAGAGUUUUAUAAGUAACAAGGGAGCAGACUAAGGUAAUUAGCACACAAUGGAAUGUCAAGUCUAUAAAUCUUUAAACCAUGAAGAUGGUUGGAUAGUUCAGGAUUUCGGCUUUUUAUUAUCGGCAGUCCUUUUAAUCAGAUGCCCACUUCUCACUGGAGCUGUACAUGUGUUGGCUGGCUGGCAUGAUUUGCUGUUGGUGAUGAGGCGGUCAGGGUGACGUUGCAGGGCUAUGGUCGGCUCUCUGUGAGGUCCACCUUUAGAUUUGCUCUGUAUAGUUUGUACCCUGAAUAAUCUAGAAAAUUGUCAAAUGUAGACAGUUUUGUAUUGAAUAAUUCCAGGAUUUGAGGUUUAAAGUUGUUCUGGGACGUACAUGGUAGUUUGGUUCUUCGUAUGGUUUUGAGUCAUAUAACUUGUACACACUGGGUGCAUAAUAAUGUAAAGGUACACUGAAUAGUAUUAAUGACCAACAGCAACAAACGGAUCUCCUCAAGGUAAGUCUGUUGGCUGUGUUUUGAUGAAGACCAUCGCUAGACUUCAGGAUCUUCCUCCGUUCAGCUCAAGGUGAGGCGCUGGUUCUGUUUUUUUCUUUGGUUGGUUCCGGCCGCAAUGUUCGGAUUCCAGUCGGACGGUUUGUGCUUCCCGCCGUGGAAGGUUCUGAGUGCGGUCACUUGAUUUAGUCCCAAUGGUUAGCAUAGAACGUUGUAGCCUUGACAACCAUAAGAAACCACCUGGCAGUUAGUUGGACGGGAGUCCCCUGAGGGAAUCUGGCGGAACGUUCUGGAUUGUAUUUGCGUAACCUCGAGCCGUUGCCAACGGGCAAAAAAAAUUCAGUCGAUUUCCAUUGGGAAUUGUUGCCCCCUAUCUUAAAUAACUAAUGUUUGAUAUUAAAUACAUACUAGCACGUACGUCGUACAAUAUGUUAAUUUCCGAUGGUUGCGCCGUACUUUUAACCACAAUGACGUUGCGGGACUCUCACUGCGUACAAAACAGCGUUCUACUUGCGGGCCCAUCAGGGAAGGCUUAAAAUCAUUUCAAGGUGGAAGAUAAUUUGAAAUUUCUUCAACGGAACCCAGCACCUGAAUAUGGCUGAGUAUAUUUGAUUUAAUAUCGAUACUGCUUAGUGUUCUUUGUUACUUCAGCUUUUGUACCUUUUGUACGUUCUAAAUAUCUGCUGUCAUUAAUUGCCACAGAAGUUAAACCCUACCCAAUGGAAUGACGUUAACCAUUGACUUUGGUGCAGAGUUAAGAACUGGAUAAUAUAAAAGCUAAAAUAAUGGCCGUCAUUCCCACAUGUUACAGUAGAAGAUACUCUACAACUGUACAAGGUUAAAAAGGUAACAUGUAGUUUGUCCCAAGGUGUCUGCCUCCUCACCCAGAGCAAGACCUCCACCUCCUCACCCAGAGCCAGACCUCCACCUCCUGUCAGAAGUCCUCCAGAACAGCUGAAAGGCGAGGCUGGGGACCGGAGGCUUGUGGUGCCAGGGUGGACCGGAGACUGAGGCUGGAGACCAGGGGCCUGCAGCACCGGACCAGAGGCUGUGAGUAAGUGAAGGAGCUAAUGGAGUAGUCGUGCUGAAGGAGGUGAUGGAGGAGCCGUGCUGAUGGAGGAGCCGUGCUGAAGGCCCAGGGCUGGUGGAGGAGCUGGUGGAGGGCCUGCCUGGUGAAUGACGUCCGUCGUGGGGUAGAUGGAGCUUGACUCUGAAACCAGGACUCUGUCUGAGGAGAGCUGCUGGAGGAGCUGAGACGCUGGAGGACGACUAGGAAUCGACCAACAAGGAUUCCUCAUAAGUUUGUAUUUACUUACAUGGUUGACUUAAAGGGCAAAAUACAGCUGUUACUUUGACAUGCGUUAACCAACUACCGCUUUCUGGAGCGGAGGCGAGCUGGUAGGGGAGCCGUGAAUCUGGAGGAUGACCAUCACUCUACCAACAAGGAUUACCAGGACUCUGAUGGAGGAGAGCUGACGGAGGAGCCAAGACUCUGGAGGACGACAACACUCCACCAACCAGGAUCCUUACCAGGAAUCUGGAGGACUGAUGGAGAAGCCGUACAUCUGGAAGGCAAAUCCUGAGGACCACCAGGACUCUACCAUCAAGGAUUCCUCAUAAGUUUGCAUUAUCUGGACAUAGUGGACUAGACACACCUGAGCUGAACCUCACCUGAUCCUGUUUGGUCGGGGGUAGACACACCUGAGCUAAACCCGCCCUGAUCCUGACAUCCUGCUGGUCCCGUCUCCUCAGUUCAUCUGAGCCUCGUCCUCCAGAAGACCUGCUGAGCUCAGCAGUCUGAGGCUGAUGGAUCAAUGACUUCCAGUGGGAGUGAUCUUCUUGACCCCACGUGUAACCGUGUGCUUCCACACGCCUUUCCUUCACGUCACUAACCUCACUACUUCACUACUCUCUACUGCUUCCUCUUUUCUUCCUUCUCUGUGGUUCAAACCUUUACACUAAAGGUGCGUCUUCCUGCCCUCAGAGGGUUUAGUGUUAGGGUUUAGAGUCAGGGACAGAGCUGGUCAGGGAGGACUGCUUUUACACAAACCUCUUCACUUGCUUUCGGAAUGGUGGUGACAUUUUGAAAAGAUUCAUUUGGGAAAAUGUUUUCCUCUGCUUUCCUUUACAAAAUUGUAUUAAACUUCUGUCAAGUGUUUUUGUUUAUAUAUUAAAAUCCCACAUUGACUUCGACAUGUUUGGUGCGGUUCAUUUAAUUGUCCUUUUAACUUGGUUAAUGUCAAGCUAAACUCCUGCAAUA